rnacentral:rRNA from 1 species
GAUGAACGCUGGCGGCGUGCCUAAUACAUGCAAGUCGAGCGCAGGAAGCCGUCUGAACCCUUCGGGGGGACGACGGUGGAAUGAGCGGCGGACGGGUGAGUAACACGUAAAGAACCUGCCCAUAGGUCUGGGAUAACCACGAGAAAUCGGGGCUAAUACCGGAUGUGUCAUCGGACCGCAUGGUCCGCUGAUGAAAGGCGCUUCGGCGUCGCCCAUGGAUGGCUUUGCGGUGCAUUAGCUAGUUGGUGGGGUAACGGCCCACCAAGGCGACGAUGGAUAGCCGACCUGAGAGGGUGAUCGGCCACACUGGGACUGAGACACGGCCCAGACUCCUACAGGAGGCAGCAGUAGGGAAUCUCCCACAAUGGACGAAAGUCUGAUGGAGCAACGCCGCGUGAACGAUGAAGGCUUUCGGGUCGUAAAGUUCUGUUGUAAGGGAAGAACAAGUGCCGCAGGCAAUGGCGGCACCUUGACGGUACCUUGCGAGAAAGCCACGGCUAACUACGUGCCAGCCGCCGCGGUAA